UGAGUAAAAAGCAAAAAAAAUAGGUGAGUCACGUCUCUUUUAUCAAUAAUGUGUGCCUCUUCUUUUUUUUUUUUUUUUUUUUUUUUUUCUUCC
rnacentral:ribozyme from 1 species